UCCUUAUUCCUUUUAAGCACUAAAAACACAGUGCUAUCGAUUUUAUGUCAAUGUCAACUGAUGGAAUUUUAAUAUCUGUCCCGUCGUGCGUCGAUGUCGUCCCUAGGAUAUGAUACCUAUUCACUUGAGGCACUUAAAUUUUAAUAUCUCCGAACUAAGUGUAUGAAAAUAAAGAUGACAUUGAUGAUAAUUUAUUUAAAUUAUCGCAUAACAACAACAUGCAAAUAUUUCAGCUUGUCAAUGUGUCACAUUUAAUAUUUAUUUAAAUUCAUAAUGAUUAUUGCGUCAAAUUUAAUAUUCAACAAGAAAAAGAGAUCCUAAACUCUAUCUAAAUCAAAAACCGUGAAACAGCUUUGACUGACAUUUUAAAUCGAUCUCUGCUCGACUCGGCUUGACUUCUCAAAAAAAAAAAAAAAAAAUAAGGAAAAAAAAUAUAAAAGUGAAUGUGAAAAAGUCAUUUCAAAAAUUGGGUUAAAACAAUUGUGUGGCAUGAAUGUGCUUCAAACUCAGUUGCCACAUUUGCCACUACUGCCGGCCGCGGCCGCCGCGCCGGCUGGUCAAACAAAGUUAUUAUUAUCUUUCCAUCCAUCCCCAGGGGUUCUAUUUUUCAACACCGAGGGAGAUUGUCCCUUUGGCAGUUAUCUUCGGGUUCGGACUAAGGCAUGGUUUCUGGCACUCUUUUGUUUGUAAAACAAAAAAUAAAAAAAUGAAAACAACUGAAAACGGCAGAAAACCACAUUUUUAAAUAAACAUGGAGAGUUGAAUAGAAAGUUGGAAGUUGAAGUUUUAAUUGCGUGUGGGAAUACUUUCACCGCUAUAAUAAUAUCCCAUUCCAGAACGUGACCUGGCUACAACAUUGUGAUAAAAUUGUCAAAUUCUUGCUAGUGUUGCUUUUAGAUGCUGCUAGAGCUGAUGCUUCUGCUAAAGCUGCUGCUGCUGGAUAUUGAUGCUGGUGCUGCUGUUCCUGCCCCAAACACUAGAGUCGAGUAAAACAAGAUUCCUGUGAAGUUAAUUUCCUCUUUUAUAUAUUUUGUGUAGCCUGCUAUUUUGUUUUAACAUUAAUACAACAUUGUAUCUACAAACGUUCAUAUAUAAGUUUACAUAUCUCUGGACGUGGGCAACGUUUAAUAAACUUUGAGAGUUGUUAAGGUGUUUUAUGCAGAUUUACCAUGCUCCGGUUAUGUAUAUUUCGUGUGGGUGAAGUGUUUCUGUUAUGGCAAUAUCCCAAAAGGUUGUCCUCUCCUGCAUAAAAGGUACAUUUUCACACAGGACACAGCAUCAGUAGCAGAACCAGAAGCAGAAGCAGAACAAACCCAACCCAAUGUGGGUUUCGUUUCGGUUUACUCUCCAUAUAGACGUUUAAACUAGGGUUUCAAUUUUUCUCUGAUGUUCGUAUUCGAUUUCGUUUUGGGAAAUGUAUCUAUAUAUAAAGGUAAAAUGUGUGUCACACAGGAUAUGGUAACAACUUUUUCCUGGGGUAGAUGCAAUUGUGUGGUUUAUAGAAAGUUCGUUCCAUAUGGGUCACUCUUUCUGGCCUGGGUCAACGGUUGGGUGACUAUUUGGUAAAUGAAAUUGUAUUUUAAAUAAGUCUACUAUAGUUUAGUUAUGCUAUACAGA